UCUACGGGAGGCAGCAGUGGGGAAUAUUGCACAAUGGGGGAAACCCUGAUGCAGCCAUGCCGCGUGUGUGAAGAAGGCCUUCGGGUUGUAAAGCACUUUCAGUGGUGAGGAAGGAUGUAAGAUUAAUACUCUUGCAUAUUGACGUUAGCCACAGAAGAAGCACCGGCUAACUCCGUGCCAGCAGCCGCGGUAAU
rnacentral:rRNA from 1 species